AAAUUGAAGAGUUUGAUCAUGGCUCAGAUUGAACGCUGGCGGCAGGCCUAACACAUGCAAGUCGAGCGGAAACGAGUUAUCUGA
rnacentral:rRNA from 2 species